rnacentral:lncRNA from 1 species
UUACAACAACAACAACAACAAACCCAGUGUAUUCCCACUUUGUGGGGUCUGGGGGGGGUAAGAUGUACGCAGUCCAUACCUCUACCUCUGAUGAAGUAGAAAGGCUGUUUCCGAAAGACCCCCGGCUCAAGUUACGAGAUAUCAAACAAACACAUAGUACAGCACAGAAGCAGAUGACAUAACAUAGAUACUGCAGCCAUAAGGAAUAUAAAACAGAGUAAAGCAGGGAUGCAGGAAUAUAAAGCAGAGGAAAGCACACAGAUUCGUAACAAACAUAGAACACGGAACACGGAACAGAACAUUGAAAUACGGAAUCAUACCAGGAAUACCCCCCCACCAAUUACCUCCCUACAUUAGCGACCCGAACAGGCCCUAAUCCUCUGCCGUAAUUCGCGUCUUCCAG